rnacentral:rRNA from 1 species
UUCAGAUUGCAGGCUGCAACUCGCCUGCAUGAAGUCGGAAUUGCUAGUAAUCGUAGGUCAGCAUACUACGGUGAAUACGUUCCCGGGCCUUGUACGCACCGCCCGUCAAACCAUGAGAGUUGGCAACACCCGAAGUCGGUAGUCUAACCGCAAGGAGGACGCCGCCGAAGGUGGGGUUGAUGAUUAGGGUUAAGUCGUAACAAGGUAUC